UCAUUUGCAUAUGGACAGGUAGGCAGACUGUGAGCGUGGGAGAAAAUAGUUUCGGCUGUUCCGCGAACACAUCGACCCCUGGCAGGAUUAAGAGUUUUCUCUAUUGUCCUGAGUAAUUUCUUUGAACCAGUCCAGUUACCACAGAACACGUCGUGCAUCUCACCUGGACGCGCAUUAACUGGCAGCGGCAGCCUCGUGAGCUGAGAAGACACCGGUUAAACAGGUGAAGCAGCACCCGCUGCAUUCCGAUGAUGACAUCCCUCUGCCAUUUGUAUCUAACUGAUGCUGUGAAGGUUCAGAUGUAAGAACGUAGGACUAACACACCUUGAUACCUUAAAUUCCUCAGGAAGGAAGAAAAGGAGGAUGGAAGGAACAUACAGGCCCAGUGCAGAGGAGAGGAAACAGACAGGUUCAGGGGGAACUGAAAAACCUGGCCUGCCACUACCGUUGCCCAAAGAGGAACGCCUCAUAUGAUGAACAUAUAGAAG